rnacentral:rRNA from 1 species
UACGUAGGGUGCGAGCGUUGCCCGGAAUUAUUGGGCGUAAAGGGCUCGUAGGCGGUUUGUCGCGUCGGGAGUGAAAACCCAGGGCUUAACCCUGGGCUGGCUUUCGAUACGGGCAGACUAGAGGUAUGCAGGGGAGAACGGAAUUCCUGGUGUAGCGGUGAAAUGCGCAGAUAUCAGGAGGAACACCGGUGGCGAAGGCGGUUCUCUGGGCAUUACCUGACGCUGAGGAGCGAAAGUGUGGGGAGCGAACAGG